rnacentral:rRNA from 1 species
GGUGAGUAACACGUGGAUAACCUACCUAUAAGACUGGGAUAACUUCGGGAAACCGGAGCUAAUACCGGAUAAUAUUUUGAACCGCAUGGUUCAAAAGUGAAAGACGGUCUUGCUGUCACUUAUAGAUGGAUCCGCGCUGCAUUAGCUAGUUGGUAAGGUAACGGCUUACCAAGGCAACGAUGCAUAGCCGACCUGAGAGGGUGAUCGGCCACACUGGAACUGAGACACGGUCCAGACUCCUACGGGAGGCAGCAGUAGGGAAUCUUCCGCAAUGGGCGAAAGCCUGACGGAGCAACGCCGCGUGAGUGAUGAAGGUCUUCGGAUCGUAAAACUCUGUUAUUAGGGAAGAACAUAUGUGUAAGUAACUGUGCACAUCUUGACGGUACCUAAUCAGAAAGCCACGGCUAACUACGUGCCAGCAGCCGCGGUAAUACGUAGGUGGCAAGCGUUAUCCGGAAUUAUUGGGCGUAAAGCGCGCGUAGGCGGUUUUUUAAGUCUGAUGUGAAAGCCCACGGCUCAACCGUGGAGGGUCAUUGGAAACUGG